rnacentral:rRNA from 1 species
CUGGCUCAGGAUGAACGCUAGCGGCAGGCUUAACACAUGCAAGUCGAGGGGCAACGCGAGUAGCAAUACUUGGCGGCGACCGGCGCAAGGGUGCGUAACGCGUGAGCAACAUGCCCGUAUCAGGGGGAUAAUCCAGGGAAACUUGGUCUAAUACCCCACAGUAAUUUUGUAAGGCAUCUUAUAAGAUUUAAAGCUUUGGUGGAUACGGAUUGGCUCGCGUGACAUUAGCUGGAUGGUAAGGUAACGGCUUACCAUGGCUAUGAUGUCUAGGGGUUCUGAGAGGAAGGUCCCCCACACUGGAACUGAGACACGGUCCAGACUCCUACGGGAGGCAGCAGUGAGGAAUAUUGGACAAUGGAUGGAAAUCUGAUCCAGCCAUGCCGCGUGAAAAGGAAGAAGGUCCUAUGGAUUGUAAACUUCUUUUGUAUGGGAGCAAUAAGGCCUACGAGUGGGUUGAUGAGAGUACCAUACGAAUAAGCACCGGCUAACUCCGUGCCAGCAGCUGC